rnacentral:lncRNA from 1 species
CGGACAAAAUCUGUCCGCGGGCCGGAUGUGGCCCUCGGGCCGUAGUUUGGAGACCCCUGAUAUAGAAUAUUGUUCAGUAUUAAUUUGUGUAUAUUUUUACAUCAUACUUUUUUAUUGAAUCUUUUAUUUUAAAGGGAAUUUUAGAUUGAAUUAUAAAUAAAUUAAAUCUGUCUUAUGAGCAUUAUUAUAAUUAUAACAUCUGACAUAUCUCAAAUGAAAAUUGUAUAUGUUCAAUUAGGUAACAAUCAAAUUGAUUUGCCUGUGAAGAUUGCAUUGUGAACUGCAUCCAGUGCCACCUGAACAGUUGCAUUGUGAACUGCUGCUGAUCUAGCCUGCGAACCAUAAGCCAGAAAAUCACCUUGUUGAAGAAAGAAGCCUGUAAAGUUUUAUCAAGGGUGAACUAGAAGCUGCUAUGCAGCUCCCUGCAGAAGUCCAGGCUAUUACAUUAGGCCUUGGAUCGACCAUUCCUGCCAAUUUUUCUGCUCUGAAUGGAGAGGAUAUGAAGCAUUUGCUUAGAAUGUUGAAUUUAUAGUGCUGUAUGACUAGAAGCUCUGAGGUUGUGAUGUGUCAGUGAUACAUGCAAUGUGUGAUAUGUUAUCAUGAUUGAUGGUGUGCUGAAAUGAGUCUCUUGGUCAUCAUGUGCAUCGCAUAUUUUCCAGGGCAGCAGGAAGUGCACAUGCACCAUAGAUAUCUGAGCACAUAAAUCAAAUAAAACCUCUGAAGAUAGCCUGGUAGAUUGAAUGCAUAGCAUAGUCUGUAUGGAUGUGGCCUAAGGAUUGAGAAGACCCAAUAUCGAGUCCCAUCUGAGAUAGACAGAUUUUUUCACAUGAUGAAAAAUAAUUCACUACAUUAGGGAAAACUAAUGGAAGAUUUAUGGAAGUAGAAAAGAGAUGGGGGUAGUUAGAAGAAGUGGGAAAAUGUGAAAAGAAGGCAAGAGAAAAUGCAGAAAGAAGGGGGAAAAUUUUUUCUUUCACCAAACAGCACCUUGUUGUGUGACACAUCUGGAAGAAUUCCUUGGGCAGAUUAAUUCAAUUGUUACUGUUUGAUUAUUAAAUUAUAUUUAUAUCAACGUACCUAUGAUAUUUAAGUGCUGCAAAUGUAAACAUUUAUAUUUGUCAUUGCCUUAUUUCCAUUUCUUUUGUACAACAUUUUAUUAUCUCAUAUAUACAACCUAUUUAUUCUUAUUUUUAUCCCAACACUUGGAGUUGACAUCACAAUUUAUACUUGUUUAUACAGAUGUUCAGCUCUGUUUUCUGUUAAUGAGCACUUUCUUUUUGAACUGAAGAGAGCAAUCCAGUUCAAAAGCUCCUGCAUCUAUAAUUUUCUUUAAGGUCCAAUAAUUAGUUUGGACUUUGUUUUAUAGUAUUUUUAAGGGCAAAUAACA